rnacentral:rRNA from 1 species
GUGCUUAACACAUGCAAGUCGAACGAGGUGUAGCAAUACACUUCGUGGCGAACGGGUGCGUAACACGUGGAUAACCUUCCUUCAGGUGGGGAAUAACCCAGUGAAAAUUGGGAUAAUACCGCAUAACAAACGGGGGCACAUGCUCUUGUCUUCAAAGGCGCAAGUCGCCGGAAGAGGGAUCCGCGGCCGAUUAGCUUGUUGGCGGGGUAAAGGCCCACCAAGGCAAUGAUCGGUAGCCGGUCUGAGAGGAUGGCCGGCCACACUGGAACUGAGACACGGGCCAG